AGGGCACCACCAGGAGUGGAGCCUGCGGCUUAAUUUGACUCAACACGGGGAAACUCACCCGGUCCGGACACCGUAAGGAUUGACAGAUCGAGAGCUCUUUCUUGAUUCGGUGGAUGGUGGUGCAUGGCCGUUCUUAGUUGGUGGAGUGAUUUGUCUGGUUAAUUCCGAUAACGAACGAGACUCUAGCCUGCUAACUAGUUGCGCCGUGUUCAUUCGCGGCUGUAGACUUCUUAGAGGGACAGAUGGCGUUUAGCCAUACGAAAUUGAGCAAUAACAGGUCUGUGAUGCCCUUAGAUGUCCGGGGCCGCACGCGCGCUACACUGAAGGAGUCAGCGUGUGCUAUCCGUGCUCGGAAGAGCUCGGUAACCCGUUGAAACUCCUUCGUGCUUGGGAUUGUGGCUUGUAAUUAUCGCGCAUGAACGAGGAAUUCCCAGUAAGUGCAAGUCAUCAGCUUGCGCUGACUACGUCCCUGCCCUUUGUACACACCGCCCGUCGCUACUACCGAUUGAAUGGUUUAGC
rnacentral:rRNA from 1 species